AAUCAAGUGGAGGACAAGUCUGGUGCCAGCACCCGCGGUAAUUCCAGCUCCACUAGCGUAUAUUAAAGUUGUUGCAGUUAAAAAGCUCGUAGUUGAACCUCUGUCUGGGGUUAGUUUUGGCUUUGGUCAGGCUAGUUCUAGGCAUCCGCCUACAAGACUUAGAGGGCAUUCAGUUGUUCACUAGGAGGAGUAGGCAUUUUACUUUGAAAAAAUUAGAGUGUUUAAGGCAGGCAAUCGCCCGCAUAUAUUAGCAUGGAAUAAUAGAAUAGGACACUUUUCCAUUUCGUUGGUUAUUGGAAUCGUGUAAUGAUUAAUAGGGACAGUUGUGGGCAUUUGUAUUUAAUUGUCAGAGGUGAAAUUCUUGGAUUUAUUAAAGACAAACUAACGCGAAAGCAUUUGCCAAGGAUGUUUUCAUUAAUCAAGAACGAAAGUUAGGGGAUCAAAGACGAUCAGAUACCGUCCUAGUCUUAACUAUAAACUAUUCCGACUCAAUGUUUGACUGGCUUAUAUAACCAGUUGAGCGUUGUAUGAGAAAUCAAAGUCUUUAGGUUCUGGGGGGAGUAUGGUUGCAAAGCUGAAACUUAAAGGAAUUGACGGAAGAGCACAACCAGGAGUGGAUUCUGCGGCUUAAUUUGACUCAACACGGGGAAACUUACCAGGUUAAAACAAUAGUGGGAUUGACAGUUUGAGAGCGCUUUCUUGAUUGGUUGGGUGGUGGUGCAUGGCCGUUCUUAGUUGGUGGAGUGAUUUGUCUGCUUAAUUGCGUUAACGAACGAGACCUUAACCUGCUUACUAGACUGGCGAUCAUCAAUCGUUAGCUCUUCUUAGAGGGACUUUGGUUGUUUUAACUCCAAGGAAGUUUGAGGCAAUAACAGGUCUGUGAUGCCCUUAGAUAUCCUGGGCCGCACGCGUCAUACAAUGACUAGUUCAGAAAGUUUUCUCCUGACCCGAAAGGGGAUGGGUAAUCUUGAUAAUACUAGUCGUGUUAGGGAUCGAUCUUUGCAAUUAUAGAUCUUGAACGAGGAAUUCCUAGUAAGUGCGGUUCAUCAGACCGUACUGAUUACGUCCCUGCUCUUUGUACACACCGCCCGUCGCUUCUACCGAGUGGGUGGUCCGGUGAGAUAAUUGAACUUCGCAGGUAACUGAGAGGAAAGAUUAUCAAACCUAUCCACCU
rnacentral:rRNA from 1 species